ensembl:snRNA U4 U4 spliceosomal RNA
AGCUUUGCGCAGUGGCAGUAUCGUAGCGAAUGAGGUUUAUCCGAGGCGCGAUUAUUGCUAAUUGAAAAAAAAAUGUAAACUUUGAAACACUUUUUGAUGCCAAAGUAAAGUUGACUGUAUCCUAUUAC